CACAGUAGCCAUGUUAGCCGGGGUAUCCUGGCAUAGCUGGAGCUACGAUACAAAUAAAGCCGAGUAGUAUGGUUAUUGCAAACUGCUUUAAAUUGCUUUUUUUAAUCGUCCCCGACUUGGUCGUAGGCUUGAAGAUCAGCAUUGUCCCUGGUGUUCUCCUACGCACACUCAUUUAAAAUAUUGUUUUUUAGAACGCAUUCCAGUCUGGUGAUAACCUGGGCUUUUAACUGAUUCGCACCUCGAACUCGAACCGAUUAAAACGGGUUCAUUUCACUGAAUUAUUAGUAAUUCCACAUGAUGAUAUACCGUCAGAAUUCAAUGAAAAAGUUCCUAAGGGGAAUUUUAUCGACAUCGCAAUUAAUUCAUCUCGUGUUCAAAAUGGCGAGUCAAACGACUCAAGCUCAUCGCAUCAAGAACAAACGAGUAACCAGCCUACUUUAACAUGCACUUAAAAAAAUUCCCUAGUAUCAAACCAUGAUGAACCUCGAGAAAUCCACAAACAUGAACCGAG